rnacentral:lncRNA from 1 species
UGGUGCCCCGGUUACCCCCUUUUUAAAAUUUAUCCUAGAUCUGCAUAUGAAUAAGUUCACUUUUUUGUUCUUUGUUCUAUGAAUAUCUGUCUUUAAAUUGACAAUGAAACCAUAUCAUUUAAAAUUGUAUAUGAUAGUCCCACAAAAAUGUCGAAAAUGCGUAAAUUUCAUUUUUUUCUAGCUUCUCUCAUGCGAUAGCCAAGGCCGUAGCUACCAUUGAGGCAAGUGAGGCAAUUGCCUAACUAAAAUUUCGACACUGAUUAAUUUUUUUUAUGCAUAAAUAUAAAUAUAAUAGUCAUCUGUUGUUCUGUCUCAACCUUGAUUUCUAUAACUUGUCAUCAUUCCUUUUAAACUACUCUUCCUGGAUAUAACUCAGCAUCUCAACGGGUGAUGUUUCUCAAUUACAUUAACCUAGUAACGAUAAUCAUCAUGGAUCUCUAAUUAAAAACAGGCCCUUGCAGAAAAAGGAAAAGCGACACUGAAGGUAAAGAAGGAAUAAUUCUAGUAAACUAUUUUUGUGAACAGAGUAUGAGUAUUGCAUACAACUUCAUUAGUACGAUCCAAAAACGAUAAGUCGACUGACAAAUCAAGUACUGGUCUUCGGAAGAGGGCAGUCUUGUCUGCGUAUUCAUUUCUCCGUUUCACCAACUUUUGACAAAUCAAGUACUGGGCAUCGCAAAGGGGCAGUCCUGUCUGCGUAUUCAUUUCACGAACUUUAAUCUUUCUCUUUACAGAUAAAUAAAAUAUAAAUAAUAUGAAACAUGCAUGGAUUAGUUUUUUUCCAUGUUUCUUUAACCUUAAAAAUUGAAAGAAUAUCCCAUAUUCCAAUUUGAUAUUAUUGAGGAAUGGUAGAACCUUUAACACAGGAUUUUGUCUUUACUUAUUUGGGACUACGGAAUUUCGUUUCUUUAUAUUCAGGGUUUCGGAAUCGGACACCCCCAACCCCUAACCCCUAAAUUUAUAGAUUCUGGAACUAAAAUACCACCAAGCUAUUUCCAGGAAUAAUUGGAAAUUACGGACCUACAUGUAAACGUCAAAAAGCUCAAUUCCAAUUUCCCCUGUACCAAUAUCAGAUAUACUUACUCUAUAGAUAGAAUCAUAUACCUGUAUCUUAUCUCAUUCUAUCCCUAGUUUGUUACUCUUUUGUCAGCAUAAAAAGCGAGUUUAAUAUUUUGUAACUGCGACUGUAUGAUGGUGCUUACAGGAAAGCUUAAUUCUUUUUUGCAAACAAAACUGUGACUACCGAUGCUGCUAACGAAUUGUUGAUGGAGAAGGAAUUGGAAGAAGACAUUGAUCAUUGUGUUGAUGAUAAUGUGCUACCUUUAGAAACACAGACUGCCCUGAAACGACUAAAAACUUAGAAGAGAGCAUGCAUGAGUGGCGAGAGAUUGUGCGGUCUUGCCAUGCUCCAUGUUCAUCGCGAAAAGGAUAUCAGCAGACCAAAUUAUGAUUCUGAA